rnacentral:snRNA from 1 species
GUGCUCACUUCAGCAGCACAUGUACUAAAAUUGGAAUGAUAAUUAGCAGGGCCCCUGUGCAAGGAUGACACGCAAAUUCAUGAAGUGUUCCAUAAAAAA